AGAGUUUGAUCCUGGCUCAGAUUGAACGCUGGCGGUAUGCUUAACACAUGCAAGUCGGACGAUGAGGGGGCGCUUGCGCCCCCGAUUAGUGGCGGACGGGUGAGUAACGCAUGGGAACCUGCCCGGUAGUGGGGGACAACGUGUGGAAACGCACGCUAAUACCGCAUACGCCCUUAGGGGGAAAGCGGGGGACCUUCGGGCCUCGCGCUAUCGGAUGGGCCCAUGUCGGAUUAGCUUGUUGGCGGGGUAACGGCCCACCAAGGCGACGAUCCGUAGCCGGCCUGAGAGGGUGGCCGGCCACACUGGGACUGAGACACGGCCCAGACUCCUACGGGAGGCAGCAGUGGGGAAUAUUGGGCAAUGGGCGCAAGCCUGACCCAGCAAUACCGCGUGUGUGAAGAAGGCCUGAGGGUUGUAAAGCACUUUCAGCGGGGAGGAAAAAGCGCAGGCGAAUACCCUGCGUAUUGACAUUACCCGCACAAGAAGCACCGGCUAACUCCGUGCCAGCAGCCGCGGUAAUACGGAGGGUGCGAGCGUUAAUCGGAAUUACUGGGCGUAAAGCGUGCGUAGGCGGCGCGCCAAGCCAGGCGUGAAAGCCCCGGGCUCAACCUGGGAACUGCGCCUGGGACUGGCGUGCUCGAGUUGGGCGGAGGCAGGCGGAAUUCCGGGUGUAGCGGUGAAAUGCGUAGAUAUCCGGAGGAACACCAGUGGCGAAGGCGGCCUGCUGGGCCCGAACUGACGCUGAGGCACGAAAGCGUGGGUAGCAAACAGAAUUAGAUACCCUGGUAGUCC
rnacentral:rRNA from 1 species